rnacentral:piRNA from 1 species
CCCCACCCACCAGGUCCUGUUGACUAAGC